rnacentral:rRNA from 1 species
UACGUAGGGGGCGCGCGUUGUCCGGAAUUACUAGGCGUAAAGCGCGCGUAGGUGGCUUGGUAAGUCAGGUGUGAAAGGCGGCAGCUCAACUGCCGUAUGUCGCCUGAGACUGCCGGGCUCGAGAUCAGGAGAGGGAAGCGGAACGACCGGUGUAGCGGUGAAAUGCGUAGAUAUCGGUCGGAACACCAGUGGCGAAGGCGGCUUCCUGGCCUGUUUCUGACACUGAGGUGCGAAAGCUCGGGGAGCAAACGGG